rnacentral:rRNA from 1 species
UGGCGGACGGGUGAGUAACGCGUAAAGAACUUGCCCUUUAGACUGGGAUAACAGAGGGAAACUUCUGAUAAUACUGGAUAAGUUAGUAUAUCGCAUGAUAUACAAAUGAAAGCUACGGCACUAAAGGAGAGCUUUGCGUCCUAUUAGCUAGUUGGUAAGGUAAGAGCUUACCAAGGCGAUGAUAGGUAGCCGGCCUGAGAGGGUGGACGGCCACAAGGGGACUGAGAUACGGCCCUUACUCCUACGGGAGGCAGCAGCU